rnacentral:misc_RNA from 1 species
GAUGAAGAACGUAGCGAAAUGCGAUAAGUAAUGUGAAUUGCAGAAUUCAGUGAAUCAUCGAAUCUUUGAACGCACCUUGCGCCCUUUGGCCAUUCCGAAGGGCAUGCCUGUUUGAGUAUCAUGAACACCUCAACUCUUCAUGGUCUUCUAUGAUGAGCUUGGACUUUGGGGGCUUGCUGGCCCAUUUGGUCAGCUCCUCUCAAAUAAAUCAGCCUACCAGUGUUUGGUGGCACCACAGGUGUGAUAACAAUCUACGCUUGAGGUUUUCCACCAGGCAACCUUCAGUAAUUGGGGUUCACUGGGGCUCACAAAUGUCUUUCUUCAGUGAGGACAGCUCUUUGAAUGUUUGAUCUCAAAUCAGGUAGGACUACCCGCUGAACUUAAGCAUAUCAAUAAGCGGAGGA